ACUUAAGGCAUUAAGAUAAAUUUCUAAAAGAUGAUUUUAUAUUCCUGUUUUUAAGGUAAUGUGGUAUUUGUCCUGAACAAGCCAUUACAUCCACCACCAGACUUCCAUUGACUUGUAUAUAUUUGAAACGGCAACUCUUCAGGUAUAAGUUGUAUUAUGAGUGAGUAACCAAGUGAGUUAUUUCUUUCUUUCUUAUGUAUUUCAAAUUCUGUGGCAAUAUCCUUUUGGAAUGUUUUAACUAAAAUGACUCGCCCCUAAGUCAAGUUAUAGACAAAUAAAAAAAACAAACCUGUACUAGAGAGUUGCAAAGUUAGCUAAAAGGAUUACAAAGACAACUGUUUUAAGCAGUAUACGACAGGCAGGUUAAAAUGUUUUCCAUUGAAUUGUGUUAUCCUGUUUUUCGGUGCGGCAUCUAUGUUUACAUUUACAAUGUUUUUUUAGGCUAAUAUGCUAUUGUCCUGUAAAGAUACUGAUACAUUAUUUUGAAACCAUUGGCUAUAUGGUUUAGAUAUUCUGACACACAGAUAUUGUAAUCUCUGUUAAUGAUUAAUAAUCUGUAAAUGUAAAUAAAUCCAUUGUCAACUGUU